rnacentral:rRNA from 1 species
GACGAACGCUGGCGGCGUGCUUAACACAUGCAAGUCGAACGGAAAGGCCCUGCUUUUGUGGGGUGCUCGAGUGGCGAACGGGUGAGUAACACGUGAGUAACCUGCCCUUGACUUUGGGAUAACUUCAGGAAACUGGGGCUAAUACCGGAUAGGAGCUCCUGCUGCAUGGUGGGGGUUGGAAAGUUUCGGCGGUUGGGGAUGGACUCGCGGCUUAUCAGCUUGUUGGUGGGGUAGUGGCUUACCAAGGCUUUGACGGGUAGCCGGCCUGAGAGGGUGACCGGCCACAGUGGGACUGAGAUACGGCCCAGACUCAUACGGGAGGCAGCAGUGGGGAAUAUUGCACAAUGGGCGGAAGCCGGAUGCAGCAACGCCGCGUGCGGGAUGACGGCCUUCGGGUUGUAAACCGCUUUCGCCUGUGACGAAGCGUGAGUGACGGUAAUGGGGAAAGAAGCACCGGCGAACUACGU